AAAACCAGAUCUUUUGAUCCCACUGUAGUCCUUUUCUUUAUAUUCUGCUGAAGGAGGUUGGGGAAAGCACUUCCUUUGUUCACUUCCUUAUUCAGCAUUUUUCAGCAGUGACUUUGCAUCAGGGCCUUGGUAGGUGCUUGGAAACAGAAAACAAGAAAUGACCCUUCUCUGCAGGGCAGAAAGCCUAGACCAAAAGCUGGGUAAUGUGAUCCGAGCUACGGUAGCCAUUUGAAGACUCUGAGGACAAACUGUACCCCCGGAUUUACUUGAGCUUCCCUUGCCUUCUGGUUGGUACACACCAGGUCACCACAACCCAGAUGGGCCUGCAGCCCACAGUACAGUAUGUACCUCGAUCUCCUCUGCCCUCUCGUCAGGGCCUGCAACAUGAGCAUCCCUGACUACGAGCAGUGUGCUGAGGACCACCAGACUUUCCCCGUGGUGGUCGAACAGGUGGGGAUCAUCUCAGAGGAGAAUUUCUUUUGCAUCUAUAAGUGAAUCACCUUGGUGAGUCAGAUCAGUCCGUGCGGCUCCCAGUGGGCAAACUGUAUCCACUACAGGCACCACUAUGCGCCCAAGAAUGGGUGGAGCGACUUCCAGACCCACCGCAAGGUCUUGGGCCUUGUCAUCAUUACUGACUGCCUCUCGGCCAAGGCUUCGAAAAGCUCCACGUGCAGAGGAGCUGUAUGGCACCACGCUCUAUGACUCUUAGCUCUUUGACUUUCUGCUGCAUGGGGAGGUGGCCGAGCAGCCGCGCACCAAAGUGGCCUUCAAUUUACGAGGACUGCAGGGUGGUGGAGAAGAGGAUCAAGGACUUCACUGAGUCACUCUUCAUCUUGCCCAAGUCCAAGAGGCUGGACUGUGCAUCCGACAAUUCUGGGGACAAGAUCCUCCUUCUCUGCAUCCCAUUUGAGAAGGAGGACAUCAUGGGACUGGACACAGAAAGCAGUACGUUUUGGUUACUGAGUCCCUCGAAUUCCCAUAUGAAUUGUAGCAGCAGCUAGUCAGUUACUGCAGAGGAGCCGGCUGGGAUUGUGAUCGAGACCACGUUGAGUAUACAGAUCGCUCUGGGGAGCACUGCCAUCCCAAGAGCGCUGUCAUCUGAUCCAGGAAUGUGCGUGGUGUGUCUGUCCAGGGGAAAAGAGUACAAUUCAAAAAUAUAAAGAUUGUGAGCUAAUGAGAUAGACAAGACAACCGAACAUUUGUUAAAUAUCCUUUCAUGCCGGAAACAAAUGUAUUAUACACACAAAAAGCACACAAAUCACGGUAGUACUGCGGUUACAAACGUGGGUCCGAGUUCAAGUCCUGCUCUGGAGUGACCAGUCCUGUGAGAUGGAGAACUGAGUUCUAUGUAUAGUUGGUUACAUUCUAUACCUGGAAAUUUCUCCAAAACUGCUUCCCACGUGCCCUCACCUCCAGUGGCAUCCAUCCAGACACCAGCACUGACACUGGCCGUGCUCACAACUGCCUUAGCCCUGAAGACACAACUGACAAAUAGAAGGGGGCUACGCCCUAAGACAGCAGGUGCUCUUACUUUGUGGGUCCUUAUGUAACUGCGCGGUGUUAUUCAGGAUCGCCCGUUCUACACUUUGUGACGCUGCUGCCGUGUCUCCUAGUUAUUUCUGAUCUGAGAAGCAGGAGCAAGGAACUCAGGGAGAGAUCCAGGAAGACAUCUGACUCUGUUAAGAGACGACAGUCACAGCGACACGGGGAGCGAGGACACUUGCAGCAAAGUAAAAUGACUUCACAACUAUUGCAUCAGAGCUGCAGGUGUGAGAGAGCCUAAGCCUGUCUCAGAGUGCAGGGGAGAAGAGGAAAGGAAUGGUAAAAUUAACACUGACAAUUGAAAUUUUGUUAAAUAGCCUGCUAAUAUUAAUUGUAUCAAAUGAAUGUAUGCAGGUGUAUUUCUAUGAUCAUUUUAGGUACACACAACCCCACCAGCCCCUCUUUCUCCCAUCGGGGAUGGGCUUUCUCAAGCACAGUGCCCCUCCUGGUUGAGUGGGCCACGCUGCGGGUCCUCGUCUGGGGCCAGGCUGCUGCAGGACACUGAGUCCCCGAGGCACGGCCUGGGAGACAUGACAGGAACAUCUCUGCUCAUAACUGAGAGCCUCCGUUUCCCCCUGCAGUGUAAGAAUGCCGGUGACUCAGUUAGAAGCAUGCAUCCAAAACGUCCUUCCGUGUCAUCACCAUCUAGAAUCGGUGCCUGAAUCUUCUGAAUUUCUCCAGAAUGUGGUUUAAAAUCACCUUCGACAAUUGAGUGUGUGUCCUCUUACAAGUGGAGGAAUUGCUGCCGUUUCCCUGGAACUUACUCACCACUAGUCCAUCUGAUUUUUCUGUGCUAGGAUUCAGUAUGGCAUGCUAAAAAUUCUGCAGUCAGAUCUUGAAACACUGAUGA